CCGCCGACCUUGCGCUCUGCUCCCCAGGCCGGCGGCUCCGGAGGGCUCGGGGCGGCCCGGGUGUCGGACGCGAGCGGGGCCGCGGCGGCCGGAGCUCCCCGCGCAGGUUGAAAGCUACAGGUAGCAGCCGUGGAAGCUGGAAUAUUCUGAUGCUGGUUAUUUUUACUGACCUACAGCAACUCUGCGGCCUAAGGUCAUUGAUUCUACGAAUAUGUUAGAAGGCCAUCAUUGCUAGAGAGGAAGAGAAAGGAAGUGCACGUCGAGGCACUGAGUUGAGGAUGUAGAAGCUCCGAUAGGGAUGGCCAGGGAGGACAGAUGACCAGAGACCUGGAGAUGCUGGGAUCCUGUAUGGACUUGGGUAAAGGCCAUUGCAGAUGUGAUUAAACUAAAGAUCUCAAGAUGGAGAGAUUAUCUGGACUAUCUGAGUGGACCGUAAAUAUAAUUACAAUUGUCCUUAGAAGAGGGAGACCCAGACUGACUGGAUAGCAGAACAGAAGAAAGCAGGGCUACAGCUGAGGCUAUGCUGCUGGCUCUGGAGAGGAGGAGGGAUGCAUGGAAUGAACCUCUGGAAGUGGGAAAAGGCAAAGAGAUGGGUUGUUCCCUAGAGCCUACAAAAGGAGCGUGAGCCUGCAGACACCUUCACGUCAUCCCAGUGAGACUGAUUUCAAACUGUAAGACAAUAAACCUGUGCUUUUUGAAGCCA